rnacentral:lncRNA from 1 species
GGGAUCGGCCUCCUCCCGAUCCAGAUCGAGGGAGGGAGAGGCGACGAGGGGGGGAAAGGGGAUAGGGCUAGGGUUCGGGCAGGUGAGUGGAUAAGGGAGUGGGGGCGCGGGGUGGGCCGGCCCAUUCGGGCGGCCUGGUGGCCAGCUGGGCCGAGGCCCAACGAGGGGGAGGUCUUUCUUCUACUUUUUUUUCUUUCCUAUUUUCUCUUAUUUAUUUUUUGUUUAGUAGUUUUCUAUUUUGUUUUAUAUUUAUCUUAGUUUUAUAAAUUAGGAAAAUAGUUUCUAAAUUAGUGUUAUGGUUUAACCCACUGCCACAAAAAGUUUCACUCCUAACUAAAAUAGUUUGAUAUUUUAUAAAUGAUAAAAGGCAUUUAAUUAAUUAAGUUGCCACUGUUUUAUUUAUUUUAGGACAUUCAAACAUUUUUAAGGAUGUUGGUUUCUCCACCAUUAUUAUCUAUGUAUUAUUUGUCACACCUGGAAUAUUUUAGUUUUAAUGUUUGAAAAGUUUUAUUUUCUUGCUUGAUUUUUGAAUUUGAAUUGGAAUCGGUUUCGAACUAACGCGAGAUUAGGAACAGUAACCAAGGUGACGUGGCGACAUUAACGGGGGAUUACUGUAGCCUAAUUAUCCGGGCGUCACAAUUCUCCUCCACUACAAGAAAUCUCGUCCCGAGAUUUAGGAGCGGUUAUAAGGGGGAAGGGAUCUGGUUACGAUAUUCUAACGUGUCUUCUCGGUCUUGGUUACUUUUCUCGAAGAGGUCAAUCCAUUAAGCUGAUGUCUUCAUUCCUAUGCUCCAGUCAUCAUGAUGAAGUCGGCAUCCUUUAUUCGGGAACUUCAUCGUACUUACGAAAGAAUAAAGGGUGGGCAUCCAGGGAGAACCGACCUCUGCAAGGUCGACUAUCUGGUCGAUAACAUCGAGGAAGGUGGCGGGAGUAACUCUCGAAUUGAAACUUAAGAAAAUAUUGAGAGCAAAGUAAGGAGGUAUCAUGGGAUGUUUCGUGCGGGCAGGCAAUCAUUCUAUGCUUGAAACAAAGUGCGAAAAGGAUUCGGGGCAAUGGGAAUAAGUAUUGCGUCUGAUACCAGAAAUAGGUCACUGGGCAGGUGGCCCGUGAAUUUCAUAUGAAGUCAAAUGCGAGGAAUAACUUUUUCAACCUGGGUGUACAAGAGAGUCAGGUUUCGAUCCUGUGGAACUGUGGGUUAUGGACCCACCAUACGGAAUAAAGGUAGAAAAAGCGGUGACAUCUUGCACGGUCAUGAUAGCAAGGCAUGUCAGAGGGUAGCCUGUUGGUUAUACGUCAGCAACAUCAUCGGUACCAAGGGCGAGGGGCGAAGAGAACCAUUUUCCUGCUCGUUGAAACGAGGCGGACCAAUAGGCAAAGUUCUCGUCCAUCGGUGGUUACCGGAAUGUCACCAACCAUAGUAACAGGGUCUUACUGACAGAGUUGUACACCGAGGUGUUUGCACAAGCAGGGAAUUAAUACUGCUUAGAUCAUCAUGAUCACCAGAAACGUUAAACCAACCAAUGGAAAGGAAAAUAUGAUUAUCAGAUUAAACAGAACAAUGGAAAGGAAAAUGUGUUUAAACACAUAUUUCAGGGGGUAUAUUCUUCCCAAGGACAAUGGUUAGAAGAGAACCAUUUAGGUUAGGGAAGAGGAAGUUCAUGACAUUACCCAAAGAACAUUGUUUGAAUAAUUGAUAACGAAAAUUUAGCAUUGUGCUUCAAAUGUUUUUAUUGAAGAUCGGAGUACCUUAGACAUGCUUCAAGAUAGCAUUGACAUGGUCAUCAGGUGAAGAUUAGACUUUGAAAUCACAAAGGAUCCAUCAGGAAUAGUUUGUAGAAUAAGUCUUACAAUUUCCUCAUGGAAGAAUGGAUAACCUUGCUGAAAAGGAAUCUAUAACAAUAGGGCCAACCGGCCAGGUGUGCUAGGCACGACAUCACCUUACCGGGUCACAUAAGACCAAUGUUAUAACUCUUGGAAAUAUGUUCCAACCAUCAUAUCUGACCGAGAUUCAGAUCUGAUUGGUGUCAGGAUAACCCAGACUCAGGAUGCCUGAGAAGAAAGGUGCAACACAAAUUGUUGAGAUGACAUUGUAAGAUUCUCGAGAAUUGAACUAUGGAAGCGAGUUCCGAAGAGUUCAUCAUUAAAUCAAGGAGAGGGUGAGGGGUGGCUGGUGGACUCAGCGACAAUUCCUCCAGAUUUCCAAAAGAUGGAUUUCCACAAGUAUGUCAACAAGGAGAUAACAUUUGUCAAUUUAAAUGGUAUAAUGAUGUAUGCUCGAGGAAAACAUACACAAUUAAACAUUGGUUGAAAGUUGCACCCGAAAUAUGGGCUGGGUUGCACGACCAACGUCGGAAUGGUGAUUCAAUAAUCAAUAGUCUAAGAAUGAACGUCCGACCAUUAACUUCAAAGGAAUAGGGCUGCUAGAAGGGCAGAACCCAAACAGCACCACCCACUUGUUGGUACCCCGGUUGGAAUCAACACGAGGACCCCAGAAAGAAUGGUGAUGGUGAGAAGUAUCACCAUACCAAGAAUUCUGAAGAGGUGGUGAAAUUCUCACAACAUAGAUGACAUAAGAGAUGUUAAUGUUCCAAGGUAAAGAAGAACAAUUGCUGGAUAGCAAGGAACUCAAGGUAUAACACCAAACACAAACAAGCUUGUGUUGGUGGGAAGGCAAUAAAGUGGUCUACGAUAACACAGAUCAUCGAGGGCAAGGAUGGUAUUUCUCAUCAUGAACUCAAUUGAUAUCCUGGAAGAGCUCAUAAGGUUGAUGAUGAUCACGACACAUAUGCCGACAGGUUUCAUGAAGAUGUAAUCGAACAGCGCCUGCUCAAGCAGAAGGACUGAUGCAGCAAAAGAUUAUUGGAACUACGGAUACAACACCAACUAGGAAUCAAGCUUGUCGUUCGAGGUGAAACAAUAAGACAAGGGAGAUCGACAUAAGCUUAGCUCAUCGUUGAAAGUUGUGUUCCGGGAAGGACCGGGUAGCGUAGUUAAAAAGUUUGCAUGAUAAUGAUAUAGCCGAUAAGGCUAGGAAUGACUUGAAGGAUUAUUAAACUCGUAAGCAACAAGAAUUACUUGAGUUAUUGAAUCGGAGUGCGGAAUCGAUUCACUUAUCAGUGUUCUCGAGUGACUAAUAAAUCAGAGCCCGUGGAAAAUUGGAAUCAGUGAGAAUGUAGCACUUGAUGAAAAACUCAUAAGAAGUUAUGCAGUUCCAUGAUAAUCUCGAGAUACCAGGGGGGUAAUACUCGACGACAGAUCAAAGUAGAGGGUGGAUUGGGGUAUUGCUCUAUAGAAGACAAUUACUUAAACUUGCAUAGGAAAUGGUAUUUAAAGGAGAACAUGGUCGGAACCACGAUCGCAAAGGAUCAAUUCACUGAUACCAGAUGAUAUUAUACCAGGGAAAUAGUUAUUAUUAUAAGAAGCUUCCAUGAUAGGAUCUACAUCGUGUCCAUGGGCAUGAACACAAAGGUUCAAGGUCGACUCCCACUUCUCCAAUGCAUAACCUUUCAUUCACUUCUCAUUUUUCAAAGAAGUUGUAGUGUUGAAAUUUUAUCUGGCAAAAUACCAGAAGAGUAUGACUCAUGAAAACUUUCGAGUUCACACAUAUUAUGAAAGGCAUAGGUUCAACCCAUCAAGGCAUCUUAGGAACAUAUACCACAAACUUCGGAGUAAAUAUUACAAGCUCGAAAGAAGAGCAUUGUUCAAAAAAGAUGAUACAAUUUACCAAAGGCAUUAUAUACCCAUGGAAAGGCUCACAAGGUUAUUCAAUAUGAAGGACACUGUCGGAUAACAUCCAACAAAGGAACCGAUGGUCCACAAGGGAUCUGAUGUGAGCAUCAGUACUCAACCAAAGGAAGAAGAAUGCAAGGAGAUCUGAUUAUAGAAACAACUGACUAACUCAAAGUUCAAAUGCAAAAGAAUUAUGAUUUCCAAAUCAGGGGGUCAGAAGCAACGCUCUGAUCAAGGAUGGAUAAGUUGAGUAGGCUUAGGGGUACAAUCGAUGGCAAUUUGAUAGGUCGAGAUCCAGCUCAUGUUAAAAAUGAUGUCUGAGCCGGAAGGAUGAAUUCUAGGAUCUGAUUGAGGAUUGCGAGCAUUCGCAACAUGUUGAAUCAAUGGACUCAAAAAGAUAAUGACAAGGGGUGCCAAUAAGAUUUCGAGACUUAUGGGAUUAAUCAUAAUGCUAGUAAGCAAGAAUUUCAAGAGCAAUAGGCUCCUGAGGAUUUUUGGAAGAUCGAAUGGUAUUCCGAACACUUUUGUGAUAUACUUGAAUCCACUGGGGAUGAGCGGAUACUCGGUAAGUGCGAGAAUUAUCCGUAGGGGUAUUCAGGUGACAAAGAACAACAAGGCAGUAAGCUCAAUGAUUCUCGGAACAACAGAGAUAAUUUCGGGGUAUCUUGUAAUAACAAGAUCAACUAGGAAACAUUGUAUGAAUGGCGAGUAUACGCGGUUAUCCAUAGGAGUUUAUCGAUGAAAGGGAAUUGCAAAAGCGAUGAACACAAGUUCUCGGGUUAUCAGCGGAGAGUAUCUUCAGGGUCUUCACGUGCAGCAGACGAUCAUCAGUAAUAAGGGGCUCUCCGGGUGAAAGCGAUAACGAGAUCCUAAUGUUAGAUUUAGCAAAAUUCACUUAACCCGAAUAGAAGAGAGAUCAAAGUCCCAGAGUAUAGACAAGGAGUAAAAGAUCCUAAUACCACCCAAUGGCGACGUGGGCCCAUAAGCCACACAGCCAUGUUAGUAAAAGUUUUGUAAAGGCUAGACUCGACUUCGGCCAAGGAGUUUGGAAGGGGGAUUCCUACAGGCAGUCGGCUCUGAUACCAACUUGUGACGCCCCCGGUUUGACCGUACACUAAUCAUGCACGCAAAUGUGUACGAUCAAGAUCAGGGACUCACGGGAAGAUAUCACAACACAACUCUAAAACAUAAAUAAGUCAUACAAGCAUCAUAAUACAAGCCUGGGGCCUCGAGGGCUCGAAUACAAGUGCUCGAUCACAGACGAGUCAGCGGAAGCAACAAUAUCUGAGUACAGACAUAAGUUAAACAAGUUUGCCUUAAGAAGGCUAGCACAAAAGUAGCAACGAUCGAAAAGGCAAGGCCUCCUGCCUGGGACCUCCUAACUACUCCUCGAAGCCGAACUCCAUGUAGAAUCAUCCUCGGGAUCUCUAGCUCCUGGACUCCAGCAUCUGGUUGCGACAAUCCGGUAUAGAAAGGGGAAAAGAAGGAGAAAAGCAACCGUGAGUACUCAUCCAAAGUACUCGCAAGCAAGGAGCUACACUACAUAUGCAUGGGUAUAUGUGUAAAGGACCAUAUCGGUGGACUGAACUGCAGAAUGCCAGAAUAAGGGGGAUAGCUAGUCAUGUCAAAGACUACACUUCUGGCAGCCUCCCUCUUGCAGCAUGUAGAAGAGAGAAGAUUGAAGUCCUCCAAGUAGCAUCGUAUAGCAUAGUCCUAUCCGGCGAUCCCCUCCUCGUCGCCCUGUUAGAGAGCAAUCACCGGGUUAUAUCUGGCACUUGGAAGGGUGUGUUUUGUUAGGUAUCCAGUUCUAGUUGUCAUAAGGUCAAGGUACAACUCCGGGUCGUCCUUUUACCGAGGGACACGGCUAUUCGAAUAGAUAAACUUCCCUGCAGGGGUGCACCACAUAACCCAACACGCUCGAUCCCAUUUGGCCGGACACACAUUCCUGGGUCAUGCCCGGCCUCAAAAGAUCAACACGUCGCAGCCCCACCUAGGCUCAACAGAGAGGUCAACACGCCGGUCUAAAUCCUAUGCGCGCAGGGGUCUGGGCUCAUCACCCAUUGCACACCUGCACGUUGCGAGGGCGGCCGGAAGCAAACCUAGCCUAGUGGCGUUCCAGUCCAAUCCGGCGCGCGCCGCUCCGUCGCUGACGUCAAAAAGAGCUUCGGCUGAUACCACGACGUCGGGAUACCCAUAACUACUCCCGAGUAGAUGGUUAGUGCGUAUAGACCAAAUGGCCAGACUCGGAUCAAAUACCCAGAACUCGUUAAGCGUGUUAUUUGAAGUAACCGCGAACGCCGACCAGGGCCAGGCCCACCUCUCUCCUGGGUGGUCUCAACCUGCCAUGUCGCUGCGCCACAAAGUAACAGUCGGGGGCCGUCAGGAACCUAGGCCCACCUCUACCGGGAUGGAGCCACCUGUCCUUUCAGCCCCCUCAUCAGAAUCACUUGCGGGUACUCCUCGAGCCGACCCGACUUUAGUCACCACAUGUGUCAUGUAUAUAAUGUAUAUAGUAUAUACCCGUGAUCACCUCCCGAAGUGAUCAUGGCCCAGUAGUAUAGCAUGGCAGACGGACAAGAGUGUAGGGCCACUGAUGGAACACUAGCAUCCUAUACUAAGCAGUAGGAUAGCAGAUAAGGGUAACAACUGUAGCAACAAUGACAGGCUAUGCAUCAGGAUAGGAUUAACGGAAAGCAGUAACAUGCUACACUACUCUAAUGCAAGCAGUAUAGAGAAGAAUAGGCGAUAUCUGGUGAUCAAGGGGGGGGCUUGCCUGGUUGCUCUGGCAAGAAGGAAGGAUCGUCAUCACCGUAGUCGAACUGGGGGUCGCCGGCUGUCUCGGGGUCUACCGGAGAGAAGAGGGGGAAGAAACAGUAAAUACAUAGCAAGCAAGUGCAUAACAAGACAUAACAUGGCAAAGCGCAGCGAUAGGAGUGUUCUAACGCAGUGCUACACGAUACUGGCGAAGGGGGAUAAUAUCCGGAAAGUUUUCCCGGAGUUAGGCAUUUUUGGACAGAUGAAACGGAGGGGGAAUGUUGCGAGUUCUAUAGGUUAGGGAGGUGUGGCGGACGAACGGGCUGCGUAUCCGGAUUCGUCUCGUCGUUCUGAGCAACUUUCAUGUAGAAAACAUUUUCAUCCGAGUUACGGUUUAAAAGAUAUGAAUUUUCAAAGAUUAUUUGAAUUUCUGGAAUUUAUUUAUUAAAUUAAGUUCGAAUUAUCCAAAACAGUAAUGGUGACGUCAGCAUGUCGUGUGUGUGACAUCAGCAGUCAACUGUGCGCUGACCAUGUCACCCUGACAUGUGGGGCCCACAUGUCAGCCUGUGUAGCUAAUUAACUGGGUUAAUUUAAACUAAAAAAACUUAAUUAGAUUGUGGGCCCUACUAGUCAGUGUCUGAUUAGGGAUUAGUUUAACUAACUAAUUUAACUAACUGAAUUAAUUAGUAUUUUUAUUUAUUUUUUAAAAGGUUUUAUUGGUGGGCCCCGCAUGUCAGCUGCUGGGAUUGGCCCAGUCAGCAUCGACCGAAGUCAACGGGUCAAAGCUGGGGCCCGCUGGUCAGUGACCCUGGGGGUGGGCCCCAGGCGCCACGUCGGACGCCGGCGGGAGGGCACUCCGGCGAGCCCGUACACGGCGGCGAGCCUCGGCCGUGGCCGGAAUUCGGCCACAGGGGUCCGUUUCACGCGCGCUUGGUCGCGUUCGAACGGCCAAGACGAUCCGCGCCGGAUGGUGGUAGUGGUUCGUCCGGAGAUGGCCGAAAACGGCAUCGGCGGUGAGCUUAGCGGCGGCCGGAGUUCGGGGUUGCACGGGCACGGCGAUGGGAGGCACGGGAAGGCCAGAUGUGGGGCUCUACGGGGCCCUGGGAGUGCCAGGAGCACCCGGGGACCAUCGGUGCGGGCAGAGGAGCUCGGGGUGCGCGAGCCCGGCAGCUAUGGCGGACGGCGGCGGUCGGUACUAGCAGGGAAGCUAGCAGGAGAGGAACCGGAGCCCAGGGAGAGAGGGGGUAGCGGAGCUCAUAGGGGAGCAGUAGGGAGUGGCAGCGGGCUCGGGGGAGGCUUGGAGCGGCCGGGACGGCGACGACGUUGGGGAGGCAGUCCGGCGAGGCGGUGCUCCGGGCGGCGAGGGCGUGGGGAAGACGACGUUGGGUAGCGCCGGGCGGCGAGGCGUGGUCAUUGGGGCGCAGCGGGGAGGCGUUCGACGAGCGGCGUGGUGGCCCGGCGACGGCGGGGCCAGCGGCGUCGGGGGCGAUGACGGUGAGCACCGGCGACGAGGUUGGGGCGUCGUGCCCGAACCAGUUCGGGCAGAUGGGGGGCGAGGAGCGAGGGGCGUGGGGAUCGGCCUCCUCCCGAUCCAGAUCGGGGGAGGGAGAGGCGACGAAGGGGGGAAAGGGGAUAGUGCUAGGGUUCGGGCAGGUCAGUGGAUAAGGGAGUGGGGGGCGCGGGGUGGGCCGGCCCAUUCGGGCGGCCUGGUAGCCAGCUGGGCCGAGGCCCAGCGAGGGGGGGGUCUUUCUUCUACUUUUUUUUUCUUUCCUAUUUCCUCUUAUUUAUUUUCUAUUUAGUAGUUUUCUAUUUUGUUUUCUAUUUAUCUUAGUUUUAUAAAUUAGGAAAAUAGUUUCUAAAUUAGUGUUAUGGUUUAACCUACUGCCACAAAAAGUUUCACUCCUAACUAAAAUAGUUUGAUAUUUCAUAAAUGAUAAAAGGCAUUUAAUUAAUUAAGUUGCCACUGUUUUAUUUAUUUUAGGACAUUCAAACAUUUUUAAGGAUGUUGGUUUCUCCACCAUUAUUAUCUAGGUAUUAUUUGUCACACCUGGAAUAUUUUAGUUUUAAUGUUUGAAAAGUUUUAUUUUCUUGCUUGAUUUUGGAAUUUGAAUUGGAAUCGGUUUCGAACUAACGCGAGAUUAGGAACAGUAACCAAGGUGAUGUGGCUACAUUAACGGGGGAUUACUGUAGCCUAAUUAUCCGGGCAUCACAAGUUCCCUCGAUGCUUAAAGUCUGAAGCAUAAGAUCUACUCUCAUAAGUGAGAAUAGCAGGCUCAGUCCUCUUGUGCUUGAAAGUUGUUGCAAUAUUCCUGUGCUCCUCGAUAUAAUCGGCUAAGAAACCCCUCACAUUGCAUGGGAUGUACUGGAAAAAAACAUGAAAGAACCCAAGACAAAGUAAAUAUAGCAUGAAAAAGAAAAUUGCACGUCCAUCAUGCUAAAAAAUUAGACAUUUAACAAAACAGCAAACGUUCAUAUUAAUCAAGUUGAUAUCAUUAUUGACGGUUUGGAUGGGGGAAUCAAACUGCAUAGAUUACUGGAAGAAGAUACAUGCAGGAAAUCAAACUGCAUUCACAAACUAUAUUUACAGCAAGACACAAACAAAUAAAAAAAGCACAUUCAUCAUAGUUAAAAUGCACAAAUUUUACAGCAUCAACUACUGAUAUUAACCUUGCUGUUAUCGUAAUUUAAAGUUUAGUGAGGUAGAUAUGUUGGUUUAAUUUUAAGGCAUUUAAACUACAUAGAAGCUAACUAAAUAGACAAUUUUAACUAUACAAACAAAGUACUGAUCCAUAAAAAUCAAAAUUUAGGAUUCGAACUACUAUCUUCAUAAAUAGUACACUUGCACACAGUUUGCAUGGACAUCAAUUUCAACAAGCAGGAAUUACAUGAACUACACACUACCACAGUACCGUACUAAAUAAUAGAGAAUUUGCAAGCUCACACAAAGGUUAUGAAAAAAAGAUAAAAAAUUGUAAAUUGAUAAGAUGAAUACAACUCACCAUCCACCUAAAGCAAUACUCAUCAAGGACAACAUCGAAAACUUCUCGGACUUCAUCAGCUGGCACAAAUGGAAAGCAUGGGGCGCCAGGACAACGAAAAACUGGG